AGAGGAAGAAACAUUGUGUAGGAGAUG
rnacentral:piRNA from 1 species